rnacentral:rRNA from 1 species
GACGAACGCUGGCGGCGUGCCUAAUACAUGCAAGUUGAGCGCUGAAGGUUGGUACUUGUACCAACUGGAUGAGCAGCGAACGGGUGAGUAACGCGUGGGGAAUCUGCCUUUGAGCGGGGGACAACACUUGGAAACGAAUGCUAAUACCACAUAAAAACUUUAAACACAAGUUUUAAGUUUGAAAGAUGCAAUUGCAUCACUCAAAGAUGAUCCCGCGUUGGAUUAGCUAGUUGGUGAGGUAAAGGCGCACCAAGGCGAUGAUACAUAGCCGACCUGAGAGGGUGAUCGGCCACAUUGGGACUGAGACACGGCCCAAACUCCUACGGGAGGCAGCAGUAGGGAAUCUUCGGCAAUGGACGAAAGUCUGACCGAGCAACGCCGCGUGAGUGAAGAAGGUUUUCGGAUCGUAAAACUCUGUUGGUAGAGAAGAACGUUGGUGAGAGUGGAAAGCUCAUCAAGUGACGGUAACUACCCAGAAAGGGACGGCUAACUACGUGCCAGCCGCCGCCGUAA